GAGGCGAGGCGCAGAUCUCGUGCCGCCGCGGCCUCGCGGGAGGCGGGGGCGGCGGACGCAGCCGGCCCUUCUCAGAAAUGAUAAAUGGCUGCCAGCCCAACUUCUGAUUCAUAGGCAACUCCAUUCUACCAACAAACCACUCCUUUUGAUUUGAUAACUCCUGGCAACCUGCAUUUUGACAACCCUACUUUGGAUGAAUUUUCAAUAAAGCCAUGGUGACCAUGCUUGGGGAUUUUCAUAGUUUGAGUAAUUCCCCGGAGCUCUGCCACCCAGCAAGUUAGAGGACAAGAUUCCUCCCUGGGGAUUGUAGUUCUUGGAAUGUCAGCAGCUUGUUUUCAUGAGGUCUGCACCCUGACCUGGCCUACUGUUAGGAGCUGUUGUGUUGGUGAUUUAUGUUGUUUUUAGUUGUUUCUUCCAUCUUAUACAGUUAUUUGUAUAUAAGGAUUUUUGAAAAGUAAAUGUCUUAUGGGACUGUUUUGCGUCUACAAAGAAAAAUUAAAACUGUUUCAAAGUAA